rnacentral:snoRNA from 1 species
AAGCUAUGAUGUGGUCAUUGAGACCAAUAGCCCUUGAACAUCUCUCAUGCUUCACUAAAUCCCUCUAGGUUCUUCUGCUGAAAGCUAGAGAUCUCAUUCCUGAUCUU